GCGUGGGGAGCAAAUAGGAUUAGAUACCCUAGUAGUCCACGCCGUAAACGAUGAGAACUAGGUGUUGGGGGAAUAACUCAGUGCCGCAGUUAACGCAGUAAGUUCUCCGCCUGGGGAGUAUGCACGCAAGUGUGAAACUCAAAGGAAUUGACGGGGGCCCGCACAAGCGGUGGAGUAUGUGGUUUAAUUCGAAGCAACGCGAAGAACCUUACCAGGCCUUGACAUCCCUUGCAGAGGUAUAGAGAUAUAUCCGAGGCUAUCAAGGAGACAGGUGGUGCAUGGUUGUCGUCAGCUCGUGUCGUGAGAUGUUGGGUUAAGUCCCGCAACGAGCGCAACCCUUGUGAUAUGUUACUAACAUUGAGUUGAGGACUCAUAUCAGACUGCCGGUGAUAAACCGGAGGAAGGUGGGGAUGACGUCAAAUCAUCAUGCCCCUUAUGGCCUGGGCUACACACGUACUACAAUGGCGUCUACAAAGAGCAGCGAACCUGUGAAGGCAAGCGAAUCUCAUAAAGGGCGUCUCAGUUCGGAUUGAAGUCUGCAACCCGACUUCAUGAAGCUGGAAUCGCUAGUAAUCGCGAAUCAGCAUGUCGCGGUGAAUACGUUCUCGGGCCUUGUACACACCGCCCGUCAAACCAUGGGAGUUGGUAAUGCCCGAAGCCGGUGGCAUAACCCAAUUGGGAGUGAGCCGUCGAAGGCAGGACCGAUGACUGGGGUUAAGUCGUAACAAGGUAUCCCUACGGGAACGUGGGGAUG
rnacentral:rRNA from 1 species